rnacentral:rRNA from 1 species
GUGGGGAAUUUUGGACAAUGGGCGCAAGCCUGAUCCAGCAAUGCCGCGUGCAGGAAGAAGGCCUUCGGGUUGUAAACUGCUUUUGUCAGGGAAGAAAUCUUCUGGGCUAAUACCCCGGGAGGAUGACGGUACCUGAAGAAUAAGCACCGGCUAACUACGUGCCAGCAGCCGCGGUAAUACGUAGGGUGCGAGCGUUAAUCGGAAUUACUGGGCGUAAAGCGUGCGCAGGCGGCUUUGCAAGACAGAUGUGAAAUCCCCGGGCUCAACCUGGGAACUGCAUUUGUGACUGCAAGGCUAGAGUACGGCAGAGGGGGAUGGAAUUCCGCGUGUAGCAGUGAAAUGCGUAGAUAUGCGGAGGAACACCAAUGGCGAAGGCAAUCCCCUGGGCCUGUACUGACGCUCAUGCACGAAAGCGUGGGGAGCAAACAGGAUUAGAUACCCCUGUAGUCC